UACGUAGGGAGCGAGCGUUGUCCGGAUUCACUGGGUGUAAAGGGUGCGCAGGCGGGGUGGUAAGUCAGAGGUGAAAUCUCACAGCUUAACUGUGAAACUGCCUUUGAUACUCCCAAUCUUGAGUUAAAGAGAGGUUGAUGGAAUUUCAGGUGUAGCGGUGAAAUGCGUAGAUAUCUGAAAGAACACCAGUGGCGAAGGCGGUCAACUGGCUUUUAACUGACGCUCAGGCACGAAAGCGUGGGUAGCGAACAGG
rnacentral:rRNA from 1 species